rnacentral:rRNA from 1 species
UACGGAGGGUGCGAGCGUUGUCCGGAAUCAUUGGGCGUAAGGGCGCGUAGGUGGCCCGGUCAGUCCGUGGAUGAAAGCGCGGGGCUCAACCCCGCGUCGCCAUGGAUACUGCUGGGCUUGAGCACUGUAGAGGCAGGCGGAAUUCCGGGUGUAGCGGUGGAAUGCGUAGAGAUCCGGAAGAACACCGGUGGCGAAGGCGGCCGCGG